rnacentral:rRNA from 1 species
GACGAACGCUGGCGGCGUGCCCAAUACAUGCAAGUUGAGCGAUGAAGAUUGGUGCUUGCACCAAUUUGAAGAGCAGCGAACGGGUGAGUAACGCGUGGGGAAUCUGCCUUUGAGCGGGGGACAACAUUUGGAAACGAAUGCUAAUACCGCAUAACAACUUUAAACAUAAGUUUUAAGUUUGAAAGAUGCAAUUGCAUCACUCAAAGAUGAUCCCGCGUUGUAUUAGCUAGUUGGUGAGGUAAAGGCUCACCAAGGCGAUGAUACAUAGCCGACCUGAGAGGGUGAUCGGCCACAUUGGGACUGAGACACGGCCCAAACUCCUACGGGAGGCAGCAGUAGGGAAUCUUCGGCAAUGGACGAAAGUCUGACCGAGCAACGCCGCGUGAGUGAAGAAGGUUUUCGGAUCGUAAAACUCCGUUGGUAGAGAAGAACGUUGGUAAGAGUGGAAAGCUCAUCAAGUGACGGUAACUACCCAGAAAGGGACGGCUAACUACGUG